CCCAAGCUGACAAAAAUAAACAAAUGCCCUGAAUUAGAAAAAGAGGCUCAGAGACAAAAUUAGCAGGCUGUUUGUAUGAAUCCUAUGUGCCUGGGAAACAGGUGAGAAGGACCCCUCAGUCUUCGCUUGCAGCAGCUCCGGGGGAAAGCGCUGCAGCUGCGAACGCGGUGAUUAAUUAGAGGUGUGCUUUCCCACAUCAAAACAACCCGAACAAUCCGUCCCAGGUGCUGCAUGAAUGAUGGGAAGAAUUGUGUGCCCGUCCCCCGAGACGCGAGUGCAGAAUCCGAAGCAUAGCUUUUUGUUAGAACUCGGCAAUCUUAAAGUAAAACAGAUGGAUGGGGGAGCAACGCGCCAUGAAAGGAAGUCCACCGUGCAAUCGGGGGGUAGAGCGACUUCCCUCUAGCUGCCGUCAUUUACCUCAGAUACGAUCCUGUAUUUGUCGGCGUGCUACCCUGCCCCUGCUGUGUGGCACGAAGAUGCUGGAAAUGGAUGGCAUUUACGUUCUGCAUGUCCAUGCUGAGAUGCCAUGGAGGGCUCUCCAUCCCAGGCUGCAAACCUGAAAUCUUUUCUUGAAGAUGAAUCACACAAUCAGAUGAAAGAACUCCGUGUUAGAAUCCACAAGGCCUCCAGCAAAACACUCACAGGUCUUGAUCUAGAAGUGUCGUCCACACGGAGAACUGGUGCAAGACCUGGGUCCCAAGGACUUCAAAAAUGUCUUGCUAAAUCCUCCCUAGUCAGGAUGCCCAGUGUUUUUAUAUCAGCCACAGAUUCAAACUGUAGGGGAAAAAAAAAAGAAGAGGUAGAUAACAGAAGACAAUAUCUGAAGCCUAAACAUGGUUGUAACCGUAUUAAAAAUUCAAAAGGU